UACAGAGGUGGCAAGCGUUGUUCGGAAUUACUGGGCGUAAAGGGCUCGUAGGUGGCCAACUAAGUCAGACGUGAAAUCCCUCGGCUUAACCGGGGAACUGCGUCUGAUACUGGAUGGCUAGAGUUUGGGAGAGGGAUGCGGAAUUCCAGGUGUAGCGGUGAAAUGCGUAGAUAUCUGGAGGAACACCGGUGGCGAAGGCGGCAUCCUGGACCAACACUGACGCUGAGGAGCGAAAGCCAGGGGAGCAAACGGG
rnacentral:rRNA from 1 species